rnacentral:rRNA from 1 species
GACGGGGGGGGUAAGCGUUGUUCGGAAUUACUGGGCGUAAAGGGCUCGUAGGCGGCCAACUAAGUCAGACGUGAAAUCCCUCAGCUUAACUGGGGAACUGCGUCUGAUACUGCAUGGCUUGGAUUCGGGAGAGGAAUGCGGAAUUCCAGGUGUAGCGGUGAAAUGCGUAGAUAUCUGGAGGAACACCGGUGGCGAAGGCGGCAUUCUGGACCGCCAUUGACGCUGAGGCGCGAAAGCCAGGGGAGCAAACGGG